rnacentral:rRNA from 1 species
CGGGUGACAUGCCAUGGGCGCAGCCUGAUGCAGCCAUGCCGCGUGUGUGAAGAAGGCCUUCGGGUUGUAAAGCACUUUCAGUCAGGAGGAAAGGUUAGUAGUUAAUACCUGCUAGCUGUGACGUUACUGACAGAAGAAGCACCGGCUAACUCCGUGCCAGCAGCCGCGGUAAUACGGAGGGUGCGAGCGUUAAUCGGAAUUACUGGGCGUAAAGCGUACGCAGGCGGUUUGUUAAGCGAGAUGUGAAAGCCCCGGGCUCAACCUGGGAACUGCAUUUCGAACUGGCAAACUAGAGUGUGAUAGAGGGUGGUAGAAUUUCAGGUGUAGCGGUGAAAUGCGUAGAGAUCUGAAGGAAUACCGAUGGCGAAGGCAGCCACCUGGGUCAACACUGACGCUCAUGUACGAAAGCGUGGGGAGCAAACGGGAUUAGAUACCCCGGUAGUCCACGCCGUAAACGAUGUCUACUAGAAGCUCGGAGCCUCGGUUCUGUUUUUCAAAGCUAACGCAUUAAGUAGACCGCCUGGGGAGUACGGCCGCAAGGUUAAAACUCAAAUGAAUUGACGGGGGCCCGCACAAGCGGUGGAGCAUGUGGUUUAAUUCGAUGCAACGCGAAGAACCUUACCUACACUUGACAUACAGAGAACUUACCAGAGAUGGUUUGGUGCCUUCGGGAACUCUGAUACAGGUGCUGCAUGGCUGUCGUCAGCUCGUGUUGUGAGAUGUUGGGUUAAGUCCCGCAACGAGCGCAACCCCUAUCCUUAGUUGCUAGCAGGUAAUGCUGAGAACUCUAAGGAGACUGCCGGUGAUAAACCGGAGGAAGGUGGGGACGACGUCAAGUCAUCAUGGCCCUUACGUGUACGGCUACACACGUGCUACAAUGGCGCAUACAGAGUGCUGCGAACUCGCGAGAGUAAGCGAAUCACUUAAAGUGCGUCGUA